rnacentral:rRNA from 1 species
CUGCGGCGGAUUAGGUAGUUGGUGGGGUAACGGCCUACCAAGCCGAUGAUCCGUAGGGGGCGUGAGAGCGUGGCCCCCCACACUGGCACUGAGACACGGGCCAGACUCCUACGGGAGGCAGCAGUGAGGAAUAUUGCACAAUGGGCGCAAGCCUGAGGCAGCGACACCGCGUGCGGGAUGAAGGCCUUCGGGUCGUAAACCGCUUUUCUGGGGGACGAGUAAGGACGGUACUCCAGGAAUAAGUCCCGGCUAACUACGUGCCAGCAGCCGCGGUAAAACGUAGGGGGCGAGCGUUAUCCGGAAUCACUGGGCGUAAAGGGCGUCUAGGCGGCAGCCUAAGUCCCGUGUGAAAGCUCCCGGCUCAACUGGGAGAGGGCAUGGGAGACUGGGCAGCUAGAGACUCGGAGGGGGGUGUGGAAUUCCCGGUGGAGUGGUGGAAUGCGUUGAGAUCGGGAGGAACACCAGUAGCGAAGGCGGCACCCUGGCCGAGAUCUGACGCUGAAGCGCGAGAGCGUGGGGAGCGAACGGGAUUAGAUACCCCGGUAGUCCACGCCGUAAACGAUGACAACUAGGUGUUGGGUGUCCAAGGAUGCUCAGUACCGCAGCAAACGCGAUAAG